CUUUGCCUGGUCUGUACCUAUGAAAGCAGCUCAGUGAUGAACCACAGAUGAAUCGUAAGGAAAGAAGGAAUGUGGAGCUAGUUUCUAGCCUGAGUCUAAAAUAUGAGUCUGUACCUUCAACGGAGAUCUCCCAGCAGCCCUACAGCUGGGAUGCAGCCCAUGAUGGCCCUGCUCUGUGUGCUCAGAGGUCAGGUCCAGCCCCCUGGAACACAACCACGCACACAGAAAGCUGCCAUGACACAGCCAACACGAGGAGGCGGAAAAGCCGGAGGCUAAUCAAGGAAGCCUUUCAGAGUCCCCCAUGCUGGCAACACGCGCGCUCCUGGAGCAGAUGGAACAAAGUGUGAAAUUUCCUUGCAACAGCAAGUGACAAAGGGAAGGAAAACUGGUGAGCUGGUUCAGCCAAACGCACUCAGAGAGAAUUUCUGCGAGACAGCAGUGUUGCGCAGAGCAGGCAUCCUGGGGCUUUCGGGAAGAUUACACAAUCAGCAAAGAUAAACCAAUCAAGCCACAUCCCACUCGCUCUCAUCCAUUUCCAGAUGCAGCUACAGACUUCUGCCAGGGUGGUGUAGAAAAACAGAAAAAUUAGCCGGAACAUAAAUGAGUACUCCUAAAUUAUUCCCAAAUCAUCGGUAAAAUGCAGGGCUACCCAAGAAUCUCCACAUUGGAAACCACCCUUCACAGCCCCUGAAGUGCCCAGAGAGCCGAGCCCUUGGCCCUGCCCUCACCUGGACUAAGAGGGAUGGAUGUGGGAAACAAAGGCAGAAGAAAAAUUACUAAAUUUCCUUGCUACCUACAGCCCAUUGACACAUCCUUGAAAUAGGCAGAGGAACAUUCCUCUAGCAACUCAACUGCCUACAUGUUGACACUUUGCUAAGGACAAAAGGCAAUCCUAGCCUAAUCCCUCCCCCCACUCCUGGCCCCUAGGAUCCUGUAAGUCUACUUUAACAUAUAACAAUCCUUUUGGAAAAUUCCUUUAUCUCUAACCCCUCCCCCA